GAUUUCUGGCUUGGCGCACUUAGCCCGUUGCGGUUUACGUAAUUGUGUGCUGGUGUGCGCCUUCCAUCCUUCGAGAGAACACUGCUACCCUUCACUGGGUCGGCUGUGCUAUCUCGAUCUUUUACUUUGAAAAAAUUAGAGUGUUUAAAGCAGGCUUGCGCUAUGAAUACAUUAGCAUGGAAUAAUAAUUUAGGACUUUGGUCUUAUUUUGUUGGUUUCUAGGACUAAAGUAAUGAUUGAUAGGGACAGUUGGGGGUGCUAGUAUUCAGCGGCCAGAGGUGAAAUUCUUGGAUUCGCUGAAGACUAACUUAUGCGAAAGCAUU
rnacentral:rRNA from 1 species